GACGAACGCUGGCGGCGUGCUUAACACAUGCAAGUCGAACGGAAAGGCCCUGCUUUUGUGGGGUGCUCGAGUGGCGAACGGGUGAGUAACACGUGAGUAACCUGCCCUUGACUUUGGGAUAACUUCAGGAAACUGGGGCUAAUACCGGAUAGGAGCUCCUGCUGCAUGGUGGGGGUUGGAAAGUUUCGGCGGUUGGGGAUGGACUCGCGGCUUAUCAGCUUGUUGGUGGGGUAGUGGCUUACCAAGGCUUUGACGGGUAGCCGGCCUGAGAGGGUGACCGGCCACAUUGGGACUGAGAUACGGCCCAGACUCCUACGGGAGGCAGCAGUGGGGAAUAUUGCUCAAUGGGCGGAAGCCUGAUGCAGCAACGCCGCGUGCGGGAUGACGGCCUUCGGGUUGUAAACCGCUUUCGCCUGUGACGAAACGUGAGUGACGGUAAUGGGUAAAGAAGCACCGGCUAACUACGUG
rnacentral:rRNA from 1 species